GACAGCAGCCGCCGCGGUAAUACAGAGGGUGCGAGCGUUAAUCGGAUUUACUGGGCGUAAAGCGUGCGUAGGCGGCUAAUUGAGUCGGAUGUGAAAUCCCCGAGCUUAACUUGGGAAUUGCAUUCGAUACUGGUUAGCUAGAGUGUGGGAGAGGAUGGUAGAAUUCCAGGUGUAGCGGUGAAAUGCGUAGAGAUCUGGAGGAAUACCGAUGGCGAAGGCAGCCAUCUGGCCUAACACUGACGCUGAGGUACGAAAGCAUGGGGAGCAAACAGGAUUAGAUACCCGAGUAGUCCCUGUCUCUUAUAA
rnacentral:rRNA from 1 species